rnacentral:rRNA from 1 species
UACAGAGGGGGCAAGCGUUGUUCGGAAUUACUGGGCGUAAAGGGCGCGUAGGCGGCCUGCUAAGUCAUACGUGAAAUCCCUCGGCUCAACCGGGGAACUGCGUGUGAUACUGGCGGGCUUGAAUUCGGGAGAGGGAUGCGGAAUUCCAGGUGUAGCGGUGAAAUGCGUAGAUAUCUGGAGGAACACCGGUGGCGAAGGCGGCAUCCUGGACCGAGAUUGACGCUGAGGCGCGAAAGCGUGGGGAGCAAACAGG